CCGAAGAAAAUUAUCAGCGACCAAAUCUGUUGUCGCUAAUUUCAAUGCCGACCAAAUAGUUGGUCGUGGAAGGUUUGUCUUCCGCUACCAAAAAAAUGGUCACUGAAUGUCUAUCUUCCCCCACCAAUAGUUUGGUCGCAGAAUGUAUUGGAAUGCAUUGGCAACAAACAUUUUUUGGUGGCAGAAAGUAUUAACCUGUAUUUAAU
rnacentral:lncRNA from 1 species